rnacentral:rRNA from 1 species
GACUGUGCAAAGGUAGCAUAAUCAGUUGGCUUAUAAUUGAAGUCUGGUAUGAAUGAACCCACGGGGGCCCACUGUCUUUAUGUUAAUAAGAUGAAUUUAGUAAGCAAGUGCAAAUACUUGAUAUUAUUAAAUAGACGAGAAGACCCUAGAAACUUUUAAUUAUGUUUUGCUGGGGCGGCAAAGUUACAAUUAACCAACUUAUUUGACACGAAGCUUAGAUGUUAGAUUAAGUUACUCUAGGGAUAACAGCAUAAUUAA